AUCUAGUUGACGACUCCCAAAUAGGACGAAACGCGCGUCCUGGAU
rnacentral:hammerhead_ribozyme from 1 species